AGCUUCCACUUCAAUUCUGGUUGUGGUGCACAAGCAAAGCAAGCUGGCAUUUAACACUGCUCUCCCUAAUCUCAUGUCUCAUUUUCUUACUCGAGUAGCCUUUCAUGGAGGGAAGGAUCUAAAUGCUACCCAUCAGUGAGGAAGAGUGGUUGGGAGCUGAACAGAUCCCUGAGUGGUUGUCCUGAAUUUCUGAAUCUCAAAUGUCUCAGAAGGCUCAUUAUUAAUAUCCAAAAAUAGCCAGAUGGCACAAACCAGUAAAGGCCAAAUAAUUCAUCAUUCCACAGAUUUGGGCUGGACUGGCCUGCAGGUGAAGCCAGGAUGGAUGAAAAUCGUUUCAUGCUGUUACAGAUAAGACUGUUUCUCCUAAGGAUCCUGGUCCCAAAGGAUCCUCAUUCCAGGAGCAAAGCCAGUGGCUGCCUCCCUGAGACUGUUCCUGACACAGCAGCUGGACAGAGCCAGGCUGGAACUGCACCCACGGGGUCACUGCACAUC